rnacentral:rRNA from 1 species
GACGAACGCUGGCGGCGUGCUUAACACAUGCAAGUCGAACGGAAAGGCCCGGCUUUUGUGGGUUGCUCGAGUGGCGAACAGGUGAGUAACACGCGAGUAACCUGCCCUUGACAGUGUGAUAACUUCAGGAAACUGGGGCUAAUACCGGAUAGGAGCUCCUGCUGCAUGUUGGGGGUUGGAAAGUGUCGGCGGUUGGAGAUGGACUCGAGGCUUAUCGGCUGGAUGGUGUGGUAGUGGAUUACCAAGGCUUUGAAGGCUAGGCGGCCUGGGAGGGUUAACGGCGACAAUGCGACUGAGGGAGGGCGCAGACUGCUACGGGCGGCAGUAGUGGGGAAUCUUGCAGAACGGGGGGGAGCCUGAUGCAGCAACGCCGCGUGCGGAAUGACGUCCUUCUGGUUGUAAACCUCUUUCGAAUGUGACGUAGCGAGAGUGACGGUAAUGGGUCAAGAAGCAACGGCUAACUACGUG